rnacentral:rRNA from 1 species
AAGUUGCAGGGUAUAGACCCGAAACCCGGUGAUCUAGCCAUGGGCAGGUUGAAGGUUGGGUAACACUAACUGGAGGACCGAACCGACUAAUGUUGAAAAAUUAGCGGAUGACUUGUGGCUGGGGGUGAAAGGCCAAUCAAACCGGGAGAUAGCUGGUUCUCCCCGAAAGCUAUUUAGGUAGCGCCUCGUGAAUUCAUCUCCGGGGGUAGAGCACUGUUUCGGCAAGGGGGUCAUCCCGACUUACCAACCCGAUGCAAACUGCGAAUACCGGAGAAUGUUAUCACGGGAGACACACGGCGGGUGCUAACGUCCGUCGUGAAGAGGGAAACAACCCAGACCGCCAGCUAAGGUCCCAAAGUCAUGGUUAAGUGGGAAACGAUGUGGGAAGGCCCAGACAGCCAGGAUGUUGGCUUAGAAGCAGCCAUCAUUUAAAGAAAGCGUAAUAGCUCACUGGUCGAGUCGGCCUGCGCGGAAGAUGUAACGGGGCUAAACCAUGCACCGAAGCUGCGGCAGCGACACUGUGUGUUGUUGGGUAGGGGAGCGUUCUGUAAGCCUGUGAAGGUGUACUGUGAGGUAUGCUGGAGGUAUCAGAAGUGCGAAUGCUGACAUAAGUAACGAUAAAGCGGGUGAAAAGCCCGCUCGCCGGAAGACCAAGGGUUCCUGUCCAACGUUAAUCGGGGCAGGGUGAGUCGACCCCUAAGGCGAGGCCGAAAGGCGUAGUCGAUGGGAAACAGGUUAAUAUUCCUGUACUUGGUGUUACUGCGAAGGGGGGACGGAGAAGGCUAUGUUGGCCGGGCGACGGUUGUCCCGGUUUAAGCGUGUAGGCUGGUUUUCCAGGCAAAUCCGGAAAAUCAAGGCUGAGGCGUGAUGACGAGGCACUACGGUGCUGAAGCAACAAAUGCCCUGCUUCCAGGAAAAGCCUCUAAGCAUCAGGUAACAUCAAAUCGUACCCCAAACCGACACAGGUGGUCAGGUAGAGAAUACCAAGGCGCUUGAGAGAACUCGGGUGAAGGAACUAGGCAAAAUGGUGCCGUAACUUCGGGAGAAGGCACGCUGAUAUGUAGGUGAAGUCCCUCGCGGAUGGAGCUGAAAUCAGUCGAAGAUACCAGCUGGCUGCAACUGUUUAUUAAAAACACAGCACUGUGCAAACACGAAAGUGGACGUAUACGGUGUGACGCCUGCCCGGUGCCGGAAGGUUAAUUGAUGGGGUCAGCGCAAGCGAAGCUCUUGAUCGAAGCCCCGGUAAACGGCGGCCGUAACUAUAACGGUCCUAAGGUAGCGAAAUUCCUUGUCGGGUAAGUUCCGACCUGCACGAAUGGCGUAAUGAUGGCCAGGCUGUCUCCACCCGAGACUCAGUGAAAUUGAACUCGCUGUGAAGAUGCAGUGUACCCGCGGCAAGACGGAAAGACCCCGUGAACCUUUACUAUAGCUUGACACUGAACAUUGAGCCUUGAUGUGUAGGAUAGGUGGGAGGCUUUGAAGUGUGGACGCCAGUCUGCAUGGAGCCGACCUUGAAAUACCACCCUUUAAUGUUUGAUGUUCUAACGUGGACCCGUGAUCCGGGUUGCGGACAGUGUCUGGUGGGUAGUUUGACUGGGGCGGUCUCCUCCUAAAGAGUAACGGAGGAGCACGAAGGUUGGCUAAUCCUGGUCGGACAUCAGGAGGUUAGUGCAAUGGCAUAAGCCAGCUUGACUGCGAGCGUGACGGCGCGAGCAGGUGCGAAAGCAGGUCAUAGUGAUCCGGUGGUUCUGAAUGGAAGGGCCAUCGCUCAACGGAUAAAAGGUACUCCGGGGAUAACAGGCUGAUACCGCCCAAGAGUUCAUAUCGACGGCGGUGUUUGGCACCUCGAUGUCGGCUCAUCACAUCCUGGGGCUGAAGUAGGUCCCAAGGGUAUGGCUGUUCGCCAUUUAAAGUGGUACGCGAGCUGGGUUUAGAACGUCGUGAGACAGUUCGGUCCCUAUCUGCCGUG